rnacentral:rRNA from 1 species
CCUACGGGGGGCAGCAGUGGGGAAUAUUGGACAAUGGGCGAAAGCCUGAUCCAGCCAUGCCGCGUGUGUGAAGAAGGCCUUCGGGUUGUAAAGCACUUUCAGUGGGGAAGAAAGCCUUGGGGCUAAUACCCUCGAGGAAGGACAUCACCCACAGAAGAAGCACCGGCUAACUCCGUGCCAGCAGCCGCGGUAAUACGGAGGGUGCGAGCGUUAAUCGGAAUUACUGGGCGUAAAGCGCGCGUAGGCGGUCUGAUAAGCCGGUUGUGAAAGCCCCGGGCUCAACCUGGGAACGGCAUCCGGAACUGUCAGGCUAGAGUGAAGGAGAGGAAGGUAGAAUUCCCGGUGUAGCGGUGAAAUGCGUAGAGAUCGGGAGGAAUACCAGUGGCGAAGGCGGCCUUCUGGACUGACACUGACGCUGAGGUGCGAAAGCGUGGGUAGCAAACAGGAUUAGAUACCCGAGUAGUC